rnacentral:rRNA from 1 species
UGGGGAAUAUUGCACAAUGGGCGCAAGCCUGAUGCAGCAACGCCGCGUGAGGGAUGACGGCCUUCGGGUUGUAAAACCUCUUUUAGCAGGGAAGAAGCGAAAGUGACGGUACCUGCAGAAAAAGCACCGGCUAACUACGUGCCAGCAGCCGCGGUAAUACGUAGGGUGCAAGCGUUGUCCGGAAUUAUUGGGCGUAAAGAGCUCGUAGGCGGUCUGUCGCGUCUGCUGUGAAAUCCCGAGGCUCAACCUCGGGCCUGCAGUGGGUACGGGCAGACUAGAGUGCGGUAGGGGAGAAUGGAACUCCUGGUGUAGCGGUGGAAUGCGCAGAUAUCAGGAAGAACACCGAUGGCGAAGGCAGUUCUCUGGGCCGUAACUGACGCUGAGGAGCGAAAGCGUGGGGAGCGAACAGGAUUAGAUACCCUGGUAGUCCACGCCGUAAACGUUGGGCGCUAGAUGUGGGGACCAUUCCACGGUUUCCGUGUCGCAGCUAACGCAUUAAGCGCCCCGCCUGGGGAGUACGGCCGCAAGGCUAAAACUCAAAUGAAUUGACGGGGUCAUAGCUGUUCCU